rnacentral:rRNA from 1 species
AUUCAUUUUUCCUAUUGCAACGCACGGGUACGUUAUUAUCAUUGUGUUCAUCCUCCGGACAGAGACCAGACCCGAUCUCUUUCCUCUUGUCAUAAAUUCCUUCUCCAGCCCACCGCAGCACUCGCCUGUCCGAACGGGAACGAGGGAGUGUGCCACAGGAGAGCGCGAUCCGUCCCUCCGGCCCCAAGAUGAGCGCCAUGGCAGACGCCGGCUCUCAUAUCGCCGCCGUCGUCGCCACCUCCACCUGCGCCCACUGUCAACGAGAAAUUCCAUCAUCAAACAUCGACUUGCAUUCCGUACACUGUGCUCGUAACCUUCAAAAGUGCGAGCACUGUGGAGAAAUGGUUCCCAGGAAGCUUAUGGAAGAACACUACAAUGAAAAUCAUGCUCCGGUAAAUUGCUCCCUGUGCAAAGAAACCUUGCGACCGGAGAUACUUGAUCUUCAUAAAAGUGAACAGUGCACACAAAGGAUGGUUGCGUGUGCAUAUUGUGAGUACGAAUUGCCUGCAAUUGAUAUUCAUGAACAUCAGGAUGUAUGUGGAAACCGAACGGAGUUUUGUCAAACAUGCAAGAAGUAUAUUAGACUUCGUGAAUGGAUAGGGCACGAAAUGCAGUGCCACGUUAGCUCAAAUGGUUCUGAAGAAUCAUCAAGUGCCAGAACCUUUCCAGAGAGAGAAGUGCGGCCUCCUCUACCGGUACGACCGGCGCGUGCUGUGCCUGCUGCACAACACAGGCGACUUCUCUUUACGGUUGCUGUAACUGGAAUCGCCGUCAUGGUUGGAUCAAUACUGUUCCAGAAGGAGAGUUUCUAGGUCUGGCAGCCAUGGACUUCAUAUGUCAGAGUUGUUUUCAACAGUAGUAUGAUAGAUAAUAUAAUCUCUUGAUGUAUGAUGUUAUCCCCUUUUUCAGUUGGCACGUCUUGCUUGCUUAAGAGUACAGUUCCAGUCAUGGCCUUGUUGGAAGAAUCGAAAUAACCAUCCAAAUAUUUGUUGUUCUCAG